rfam:Triticum aestivum genome assembly, contig: Triticum_aestivum_CS42_TGACv1_scaffold_000548_1AL
CACGUACUCCCUCAGUUCGAAAAUACUUGUCAUUAAAAUGGAUGUAUCUAGAUGUAUUUUAGUUCUAGAAACAUGCAUUUUGAUGACAAAUAAUUUCGGAAGGAGGGAGUACGUA